rnacentral:lncRNA from 1 species
AAGUACGGUCAAGAGCCCGUGCAUCUGGACCUAUGAUAUAAGACAUCAUAGCACAAAAGAAAAGCAUGUGUUAGUACUUUGAAUAUACUGGUAUUCUAAGUGAGGUUGGCUGAUAUGCAUAGGUUCAUAUGCAUGAAUAAUAAUUGGCUGAGUAACAUGGAUGUAACUAAAUGAGAGUACAUGCAUGAAUACAUAAACUAUAAUUGAGGUUAUGUUAACACUGGAUACUGAAUUUUGAUACUUAUUAACUGAUAUCUGAGUUUACUGAUAAUAUAGUCUGAUGGCUGAGUGACUAUUUCUGAAAGUCCUAAUCUGUAGAAUGGAACUAAGUUCUAUACUGAACUGGGUGACUAUGUCUGACAUUUCUAAAUCUGUAGAAUUGAACAGAGUUCUAUGUUGAGACUGAAACUAAAAUUGUGGGAGGAAGUUAUCUAACCUACAUCCCCCUCUCCAAUUAGAUAGAGGUCCAACCUGUAACCCCAGUUAGAAGGGUGUCAAUACCGUACCACGGGUAAAGACAAGCUAUGAGUUAACCCUCUCUGACAGGAAGCACUUUUGUCAACCUUCGCUAGCAGGAAAACUCAUGUGAAAUGUAUCAACCCUAGUCUAGCAAUAAGAUAUCUCAACCUACGUUAGCUACGUAGUUCUGUAACACAGAGAUUACUACUAAGGGUUAAAUCCUAAGCUGGCAGGCAUGCCCCAAUCCUUGGGUUCGCUCGGUGCUGAUUCCUACUCUCAAUUGAAUGGACCCUGAACUAAUUUCUAAACUGUACUAGGCUUGACUAAACUGACACUGAUCGGUUUGAUUGACUGAGCUAGACUGAGUUCACUGAGUUUUAUAACUAACAGGGCUCUACUACUCGUGACAAUACUGAGUCUAUUCUACAUCUACUAUAAUUCUAGGUAAAUAGCUAGAUUUCAGGUAAUAAAUACCCCUAGGACUCGAUAGCAUCAAUAAUAAUGAGACAUGACAUUCUUGAAAACAUAACAAUAAUCAAUUAUCCACAAUGCAUUCACUAAGGCAAUUUCACAAAUAUUUGGACUUCGUACAUGAAUGGAAAAGAAUGUUAACAUAUCAUAAUCUUACUAUUCCCAUCACAUGGACAUUCCAUCAAACACUUACAAGGCAUAGAUUUGACAUGGGAGUAAUUUCAAACAUGUAGUUCAAGCAUGAAUUCAUCCUUUAGAUCACCCAUGGUUCACAAUGCACAAUUUAUUCACUUAGGCCUUUUGACAAACACAUAGAAGGCAUAACCUUAUACUUGGGCAUGAACAACAUGCUAAUGUAUUAUUACUACCACAACCAAUUCAUAAUUCAAGGGUUCUUGGCAUGUAAAUUACACCCAUCACACACAUGCUACUUUACAUUCAUGAAAAUAACAAUUCAAUCUUGAAUUGAACACCAACCAUCAAUACAUACAUGAACACAAUUAAAUCCAAACAUGUAAAUCAUGAAAUCACUAAUCUUGUAUUUUAAAAAGGGUUCUUGAACUCCAAAGGUGGAAGGAAACCCUUAGAUGAACACCUAACUUACCUGGAUUGUAAAAUUUAUGAAAAUUGAGGUGAGUUCUUAAGGCUUGGUUCUUGAACUUGAUGAAGCUAGGGUUUGUUCUUGAGAGGAUUUUGUGAAAGGGAUGAGAAAUUUUGCUAUUUGGGGCUUCAAUCUCGUGUUAUGGAGCUAUUGGGUGAAGGAAAAAUAACCCAUUUUCCCUUAAAAAUAUAAAAAAAAAAACUGUAGGAGAAUGCACGGGCCGGAAUAGCCAGGGCACCGCGGGCUCUAGAGCGUCGCUCUAGGUGAGGCACCGCAGGCACUGGAGUGCCGCUCUAGGUGAGGCACUGCAGGCACUGGAGUGCCGCUCUAGGCGAGGUGCUGCGGGCUCAUCAUCUCAAGCCACUAUUUCUGAAUUCCAAACACUCCCUUACUCUAAUCCAAAAAUUCCAAAACUCACCCGAGGUGAACUAUUGACUUCCCCGAUCAUGAAUCAACCUAAAAAUUGACACUUUAAGGUCCUCAGGGUUGGGAAAAAGGAUUGCCAACUUAUGAGGCUAAAAAUAAUCCUAAGUGUAAAUACUUAGCUAAAGUUUCUAAGUAUGGGACCCCUUAUCAAGCUCUAAGGGCUAAGUUAAGUUUAGAAUUUUGUAGGGUCUUACAGAUGCAUGGGCUCCUGACCAUACCUAGAAGCCUAGAUUAUCAACAGUAGAUUUAGUGGUGAGUCCUCAUAGUUUGAGGAAAUAUUCACCAUUUCAGUAUUUCUGUUUAUAUUUUAGUAGUCAAAGUUAGUUGGGGACUUGUUCCAUCAACUCCACCUUCAGAUAGUUAGAGGCUUUCGAACUAGAUUAUUUCAGGCAGAUGUUUAGUUUCUAGUAUUUAUUUAUCAGUAUUCAGUAUUUGAUUUCAAUUAUGAAACUUAUGACAGAUUUAGUCUAAUUUCCACACUUACUUCAUUAUUAUUAUUCAGUGAUCACAGCAAGUACCAGCCAUGGGUUAGCUUUUGGUCCUUCGAGGUCGCAAGCACCGUGUAACAUCCGGGGUGCAGACUCAGAGCGAUACAACCAGUUGCACUAGAAAUGCACCCUACUGAGCAAAGUUGCCAUACCACUUAGAUGGUGUAAGACAUUAAAGUAACUAGGAUGAUGUUAAAUGUAGAAUUUAUAUUCUCCAAGGAGAAAUGUCAUGCAACAUGUAUUUAUUUCAAGGUUGAUAUGGUGAAGUUUUUUUUUUGGGUAACCAGGUAUUCCAUUUCACCAAAAAUAUAGUCUUUAUAAAGCUUGGUGAUUUCUGACCAAUCGCCUCUCACAUCCUACGAAAACACUAAAAUCAGAUACGUACAGCUAAAUAGAGAGUCAACUAGCUAUAACUAAACUCUAUACAUUUAAGGAUAGUAAUUUGUAUUUGUUAGGUACUUCUACCAUCGAAUCAAAAAAUUUCCUUUUGUAUGUAUAUGAAUUUCAAUAUCUCUGCAAAUUCUAUCACUGGAGUAGGUGCCUUUUGUUAGGGUUUUUUCCCUGAUUUUCUUACUAUAUUUAAGUUUUAUUUUUUCUUAAAAGGAAAAUAAAAGUUACCAUAAUUACUUUUAAUUUUCCUGAAAGAAAAAAAUAUAAUUUUUUUCAUAUUUGGCUAACUUUUUUCUUGGAGGAAAGGGUUUGGAAAUCUAUAAAUAGAAGACUCGCUUCUCAUACCAUAGCACAAAUAGCAUCCACAAUGUAGUCUUUAAAGAGUCUUUGUUUAGGAGGAUAUUUCUCCCAAUAAGUUUUAGGAUUUUCAAUAUUUUUAAUAUGUAGGCCGUUUGGCCAAACCAUAUCCAAUAAUAUAUUUUUAGUUUAAUUUUUCAUGUGUCAUCUUAUUUAUCAUCUCAUAGUUUGCAACUAAUAGCUUCCGCAUGACGCCCUCUCGAUUUUGAACCCAAGAAGUGAUAUCAGAGCUUACGGUUCAAUGGUCCAAUGGUGCGGUGAGACGAGAUUAAUCAGGUUCAAAGCGGUUUCAAAAUUAAGCUGCAACAAUUUGGAUGAUAAUGAAGAUUUUUGUUAACCUACAUGUGGAGAAAAAAAUUUCAAACAAAAUUUCAACAAUCCUGCUGCUUAUUCAUCUUUAAAACCAAAAUCAAUUUCCAACCCAUGUUUAUGGGCUCUAAUUUUCAACUCAUACUUGCUUAAACGCUUGGGCUCCUUUCAACUCGUGCAUUUAUUUUUAACGCAUGAUCUUCAUUCUUAACCUGUGCUCACUUUUAAUGCACAAGGCUUCACUUUCAAUCUUAUUAACCCGUGCUUCUAUUUUUAAUGCAUAGGGCUCCAAUUUUAACCCAUAUUAAUUUUUAAUCAUGGUAAGCAGUAGUGAUAUAUGAAGAAUAUAUAUGAAGAACGAAUAUCAUACACAAGAAGAAGGAAGAUCAAGAAUAUUUUAAAGAAAAUCAAGCCAAAAAGGGGAGAUUUGUUAGGGUUUUUGCCCUGAUUUUCUUACUAUAUUUAAGUUUUAUUUUUUAUUAAAAGAAAAUAAAAGUUACCAUAAUUUCUUUUACUUUUCCUGAAAGAAAAAAACAUAAUUCUUUUUCAUAUUUGGCUAACCUCUUUCUUGGAGGAAAGGUUUUGGACAUCUACAAAUAGAAGACCCCCUUCUCAUACUAUAACACAAAUAACAUCCACAAUGUAGUCUUUAAAGAGUCUUUGUUUAGGGGGAAAUUUCUCCACUAAGUGUUAGGAUUUUCAAUUUUAUUUUUAAUAUGUAGGCCGUUUGGCCAAACCAUAUCUAAUAAUAUAUUUUUAGUUUAAUUUUUCAUGUGUCAUCUUAUUUGUCGUCUCAUAGUUUGCAACUAAUAGCUUCCACAUGACACCCUCUCGAUUUUGAACCCAAGACCUUUCUGAAAUCUGAAUGUAUUCCUUAUUGUCCAAAUUGUGUAGAUCAACCUACUAAACACAUCUGCAACAAUCUCCUAGUAUCCUAAUUUUUACUUCAUACUUUUCAGCAACCAAUCAAUCUCCUAAAUCCAACUAUUAAUACUUCUAGCAUGACCAAACCAUCUAAGCAAUCUGUCCCAAAUAUCAUUUAUAAAACUGCAUUCAAAGAAUUGGUAGUCAAAGAGUUCAUCAGUUAACCCACAAAACACAGGUUUUUGGGACCUGUAUACUAAUCUUCAAUAUCCUAUCAACUGUUGUAAACCUUUUUUGCAAAGCUAACCAUAAGUUAAGUUUAUAAUUAAGUUGUAUUUAAGGCUGCAAGAUCAACUUCUUCCAUGAUACUUUAGGAUGCUGAGGGACUUAUAGUAAAUAGAGCUUAUUAAUACUAAAUUAGUCUCCUUGUUGUACCUAUUUUAGCCUGCUUAAAAGAACACCUUGCAAGUGCUACAUCUUAACUAUCAUUUUCCUAGCAUUCAAUAUUUUUCUAACCACCCAAGACACAUUCUUAGGUAUAGGGGCAUGUUUAAGAGGUUGAUGCUUUAAAUAUAAGCUAUAAAUCCAUAUAAUCCAUAAAUAGUCAUUCUUCAGUGCAAUUGCCCAGAGUUGUUUUACGAUAGCAUCCUUAUUCCAUAGGAAUAAAUUGAUUACAUUAAUACCACCUGCAACUUAAGGUAGGCAGACCUUGUCCUAGGAGAUGAGAUCCUUCUUGGAGAUUUCAGCUUGGCCAGUCCAUAGAAAGGACCUGCAGAUAGCCUCAAUACAUUUUAUCACCUUUUUUCGGAUCAAGAAAACCUAAGCCCAAUAUGACUGCAUAUCAAAAAUCAAAACCUUAAUAAACUGAAGUCUUCUUUAAUAUGUCAAGAGUCUAGCAGACCAACAAGUUAUUCUGGCAGUAAUCCUUUCCGCCAAAGGCCAACAAAAAUAAAUAGAAAGCUUUCUAGCAGCAAUAGGAACUCUCGGGUAUUUAAAAGGAAAGGUCCCAACACAAUAGCCUAUUUCUUUGAGGACAUCUUGCUUUAAAUGAUAAAAAAAUACCAGCUAGAUAUAAAGAGCUUUUGUCCACCUUUACCUGCAACCAAGAAGCUUGAGAAAACUUUAUGAAUUCCUAAUUUAAUAAUCUAAUGGAACCCCAUUUCGGCCUUACAGAACAUCAUCAAUAGAUCAUCAGCAAAGCAUACAUGUAUUGCCCCUACUUUCAUGCCUCUAUGGUAUAAUUUAAAGUCCUUAUUCCUAGCCAACUAUUUCAACACUUUAUUCAGGUAUUCCAUGGCAAUAAUAAACAAGUACAGAGACAUUGGGUCACCCUGCCUGAUACCUCUUUUACCUUGGAAUGGUUUAAUCAAACCAUCAUUCAUAAUCAAAGAAUAAGAGACAGUAGUGAUACAUGACAUUAUCCAACCCAUAAAAUUACUAAAAAACCCUAUCUUUGUUAGUAAUCUUUUUAAGAAAGCCCAAUCUAAUGAGUCAUAAUGUCACGGGCUUAUUUUUCACUGCGUCAGCGACAUACAAUUUCGCUCGUGCGGCGCCCAUGGUUCCCCCAACUAUGGUCCAGCCUUCCUCAUUUUCCAGGUCUGUAGCCUGUGGAAAGUUUGCCUCAGAAGCUUGCUCCCUUUGGUGUCGCUCCAUCAACAUGUCGGCUGACAUGGCCAACGUAUAAGCAACUCUUCUGGCGCACCUUUAAUCCUUGGAUCUCGUCCAUAUGCACCCCUGGGGAUGGAUACGGACAUACUCGUCCCUCACCUUGGCCUGAGCAUUACCAUCACAUGCACAAUCCUAUCCUCAAGCUUGACAUUGCCUCGUGCAUGUGCACUUGGCCUUUGCUUCGCCCGAGUAGGGCAACCCUCAAUCCUUAGCCUUUGUCUCAAGCGUCUUUCUUAGAUAUGCCCUCUCAUGUCUUAUGGCAUAUCCAAACAUAGCCCACGUAACUUGCAUCCAACUUCCAUAGCACAGUGUCGCCCCACAACUGCGCGUCUAGGCCAACGGACCCUUGCUCUCUUGGCUGAACCUUGAUCAAGCUCACAAGUUGGCUCACGAGUCUCUUGGGAAGAGUAUCUCAAUUGCUCUAUCGGCUUGGAGGCAUCCUUCCAUCAUUUAGAUAGCCCACGGGGCUUGUCAGUUCAUAUAGCUAAUCUCUAGCCUUUUCCGAUGCCCAACGCUAGUCCACCCAACCUUGUGUUGCCCAUAGGGUUCCCGAGCCCUAUGAGUACCUUGCGCAUUCCUUUGACAUACCAAGGCAAGCCCUUGAGGUUGUCCCUCAAGGUAGCACACUUGGGGUGGCCAUCUGUCGACACACCCGGGGGAGGCUGGUAGGCUGUCACCAUUCAUACCCCCCUUAUAUAUGCUUAAAAUAAAUAAUCCCAAUGUCCGCCACUAGACAUCAUUUUGCUCGAGAAUCAUACUGGGGCUUAGAUUAUUCAUCCGACCUUUAAAUUGGGUGCUGUUUGUUCCUACUCCUUUCUCUUGACUUACUUCAGACCUCCAUGAAUUUUCACCCCAUUCCCAUACACAUGGAACGAGUUAUGGCCUUCGGACCAAUCAGCAAAUUAUGAUAAUACCACUGGACUUUGGCCAAGUCAAGCCCCUAUCCAAACGGACUCCAAAUGACCCCAAAUUUGGUAAGCAUUCAUAAGGUACCAUCAAUAUCAACUCUCUAAAUCAGAAUCCUUAGAUUCUACUUGUAGCUCAAAAUGGCACGACGCUGACAUCGAACACCGCAUCGAUCCUCACCAUGCCUCCGCCCCCUUGGGCUCACACCAAGCCCUCUCCAAAUCACAUUGGCACCCUUAGGACAUGUCAUGUAACAUAUAUAGAUGCUUGUUGCCUUAUGUUUUGCCCCUUUGCCUCAUCUUUGACUUCAGCAUAUUCCCUCAGCACAUGCCGCCUGCAUAGCUGACAAGGGUGCGACCUAGUUGGCACGCACAAUCCUGGCGAGUGACAGACCCCAAAACUUUAGGGCGUCACACCCUCACACACCUGAAGUAUUCAUUGUCCUCAAUGAUAUGCAACACCAACGACAACCCGAAGUCUGCACUCUUGGGGAUUUACAUCACGGCCCCCAAAUCCUUAUGUGUGGGAACUCUUGCGAGCUCCUACUUAAAAAUGGAGUCAGGCCCCUUGCCCUUCUCCCCCUAGUUUUAUCCAAGUGUGCACUCCGUACUUCUGCUCGGACGGUGUCUCCACACCUGCACCCUCUGGUGACUAACUUUGCGGUGACCUCAAGUCAUAUCCGCACCAUGCUCCUCACGGCCUUCAUCUUUUCCGGGAAUUUGUUUCCACCCUGGUGAUCCUACUAGCCCAUCCAUACCUGGCAUGUCUAGCCCUUCGAUCCUUUGCCUCUGGUAGACAACUAUCUUCCCUCCUGGACUUCUGCCUUUUAAGCACAACGUAGUUAGGUAGGCAUCCCUCGAUGUGGCAUCUUUACCAACCAUGCCCUCAUGGUCCGUAUAUUCUCUCCUCGAGCAAUGGCACUGGCGGUAGCCUAAAUUAUGAACUUUGUCCCAAUCAUCAUUCACAACAGCCUUUGGAAACCCAUUCUUCACCAUGGCACCUUCUGGCAUCUCGUAUGCUCCGUGCCCUUAGGCACUUCACACUCUCUUAGGACGUACCCUUAGGCAAGUACUUCUUAUCUUAAAGUGUCGGCAUCUGCGCACUACUCUGUGAAUUAGAUGUGUUGUUCAAAACUCUUUCUUUCCCUUCGCAGUCCUUCGACGUUCGGGGUAGGCUAUGGCGAGAACUCCCUUAGUUCACCUAUCUGCGGCCUCCGACCCGCUCUUCUACUCUUGGAAAGAACCCAUCCUCAAACUUGGAACCUAAUUCAUUUUCAAUUCUUUAGCUAAUCCCACUUUGACGACUUUCCUUACUUAUAUUUCUUUGGCACAACACCUUUCCAUCAAACGGUUUGGUUUAUGUGUGCUGCUCACACACCUGAUGGCUUUACUUCCACCUGACUUUAACGCCCAUCUUCCCGCAAAGAAGCCUGUGCUCAGGUCCUUCUUUACGUUGUCGCGGCCCAAUGGUCCGCUUGGUGCUAGCCUGGUUCUUGCCUUGCAUAGCUCUUUCUCCAACUGCAAACUCUGCUUGCCCAUGCUGUAGGCUUCACUGCCCACUCAUUCUGCAUGGCUCUCUUCUGUAGGGACUCUCCUGCCACUCCUCGCAACCCAUUGGAUGGCUAGGUGUAGGGACUCUCCUGCCACUCUUCGCAACCCAUUAGGUGGCUAGGUUGUCGUUCCAACCUUGAGUCCGACUUUCUUUAGACGGACCCCUUCACGUGCCCUCGGCAAAGCUCAAGUCCAACCUUCUUGGUGGACACUCAACUUGAUGCCUUAAUUGCAUCAAUGGCAAGACCUAAGCAUGAUCAAGCCCAAUGUUUAUAGUCUACGGCCUUAACUCUCUUGGAACAUGGCUGCACGACCUGGCAGACAUGGAUCAUUCUAUUGACCACCCGACUUAUUGGCAUAUCCCCUUCGUUAACUCAGCCUAGACUCUUUCAUGGCUGACAACCCUAGCUCAUCGCUUUGCAUGAACAAGCUACUUGACUGAUAAGCUUCUGAUGCACUUCACCAACCUUGCUCGACGUCCUUAUCAAGUCUAUGCUCUCUUCUGACCAUAGUUGCCAACAUACCGCUAACAGAGUUUCUGACGAACCGACGGUUCCCCACAAUCAAGGAUCUUUGAGCACCAGCUAUCCGAUUGUCCAACUUUGUGGUUCCACUCAAACAGCAUCGCACGAUGACCACACCUAUUGGCCCAACGUGCCUCUAUGGAAUCCCUCUGCAUACGGUAUCCACUGAUUUGAAGUCAUCCCUUGAAGUCUCUCAAUCACUCUCGGGUGCUUUGAAGAUGAAUCAACCCACACAAACAAAGGCGGAAUCAACAGCUGUGACAUGGCGUGAUUCUGAAAUGAUGGGCCUUGGUUGAUAUAGCUAACUCAAGCAUCUCAACAUACAACCAGUUCCCUUCAUAAGGUAGCAUCAUCUCAAAUGAUCUUCAUGAGCACGACGAAUAUCAAUCUAUGCUUUGACGUGAUCGCUGCAAUAACAUUCACAAUCUGCUCUCAAUUCUACGCUUUGAUACCACUUCUCACAGGCUCAUUUUUCACUGCAUCAGCGGCACACAAUUUUGCCCGUGUGGCGCCCAUGGUUCCCCCAACUAUGGGCCAGCCUUCCUUAUUUCCCAGGUCUUUAGCACGAUCCUGUACCUGUGGGAAGUUCGCCUUAGAGGCUUGCUCCCUUUGGUGUCGCUCUAUCGAUAUGUCGGCUGACAUGGCCAACGUAUAAGCAACUCUUCUGGUGCACCUUUAAUCCUUGGAUCUUGUCCAUAUACGCCCCUUGGGAUGGCUACGGACAUAGUCAUCCCUCACCUUGGCUUGAGCAUUGCCAUCGCAUGCACAGUCCUAUCCUCAAGCUUGACACUGCCUCGUGCAUGUGCACUUAACCUUUGCUUCGCCCGAGUAGGGAAACCCUCAAUCCUUGGCCUUUGUCUCAAGCGUCUUUCUUAGAUAUGCCCUCUCAUGUCUAAUGGCAUAGCCAAACAUAGCCCAGUGUCGCCCCACAACUGCGCGUCUAGGCCAAUGGACCCUUGCUCGCUUGGCUGAACCUUGAUCAAGAUCACAAGUUAGCUCACGAGUCUCUUGGGGAGAGUAUCUCAAUUGCUCUAUCGGCUUGGAGGCAUCCUUCCAUUAUUUAGAUAGCCCACGGGGCUUGUCGGUUCAUAUAGCUAACCUCUAACCUUUUCCGACGCCCAACGCUAGUCCACCCGACCUUGCGUUGCCCAUAGGGUUCCCGAGCCCUAUGAGUACCUUGCACAUUCCUUUGACAUGCCAAGGCAGGCCCUUGAGGUUUUCCCUCAAGGUAGCACACUUGGGGUGGCCAUCUGUCGACACACCCGGGGGAGGCUGGUAGGCUGUCACCAUUCAUACCCCCCUUAUAUAUGCUUAAAAUAAAUAAUCCCAAUGUUCGCCACUUGACAUCAUUUUGCCCGAGAAUCAUACUGGGGCUUAGAUCAUUCAUCCGGCCUUUAAAUUGGGUACCAUUUGUUCCUACUCCUUUCUCUUGACUUCCUUCACACCUCCAUGAAGUUUCACCCCAUUCCCAUACACAUGGAACGAGUUAUGGCCUUCGGACCAAUCAACAAAUUAUGAUAAUGCCACUGAACUUUGACCAAGUCAAGCCCCUAUCCAAACGGACUCCAAACGACCCCAAAUUUGGUAAGCAUACAUAAGGUACCAUCAAUAUCAACUCUCUAAACCAGAAUCCUUAGAUUCUACUUGUAGCUCAAAAAUGGCACGGCGCUGACAUCGAACACCGCACAUGAUCCUCACCAUGCCUCCGCCCCCUUGGGCUCACACCAAGCCCUCUCCAAAUCACAUUGGCACCCUUAGGACAUAUCAUGCAACAUAUAUAGAUGCUUUUUGCCUCAUGUUAUGCCCCUUUGCCUCAUCUUUGACUUCAGCAUAUUCCCUCAGCACAUGCCGCCUGCAUAGCUGACAAGGGUGCGGCCUAGUUGGCACGCACAAUCCUGGCGAGUGACAGGCCCCAAAACUUUGGGGCGUCACAAUAAGCUUUACUAAUAUCCACCUUAAUAACAUAUCUUGGGGAAACACCUUGCCUAUUACAGCCUUUGAACAGUUCAUGAGCAUAUAAAAUAUUAUCAGGGAUAGAUCUACCUUUAAUAAAAGCUGAUUGUGAAUCACCAAUAAUAAAUUUUAGCUUACCAAUCAUUACUUUGGUGAUUAUCUUGUAAAAAAGUGUACAAUAAGCUAUAGGCCUAUAAUCUUUGACAUUAGUAGGGGCAGGAACUUUAGGCACCGAAGUCAUAGCAGUAUAGUUUACACUUUUAUCCAACACACUAGUAUUGAAAAAAUGAAUAAAAGAAUUAAUGGGAUUAGUACGUACCUCUUCCCAAUAAGUAGUAAAGAACCUAAUUGGGAAUCCAUCAACACCUAGAGCCUUCUUCUUUGUCAUCUCUUUGAUUGCUACCGGCACUUUCUCAGGAGUAACCUACUGAAUAAGAAGCAACUACUACUCCUUAGAUAAGUAAUAGCCCUUUUAGACUAUCUCAACGUCUAGACUUGGGUGCAGAUCUCCCUCUUGUCCCAUAAGGUUGGUGAAAAAAGAGAUGAAUUUAGCUCCAAUCUCACUAGGGUCGGUCAAUUUUGUUCC